AGCUUGUUUGUAGACGUAAAAGAACAAAUUAGCAAAAACUCUAGGUGAUGUAAACACGUAUAAAAACGUA
rfam:Terrisporobacter sp. 08-306576 Contig121, whole genome shotgun sequence.